AUUGAACGCUGGCGGCAUGCCUUACACAUGCAAGUCGAACGGUACCAGGUCUUCGGAUGCUGACGAGUGGCGAACGGGUGAGUAAUACAUCGGAACGUGCCCGAUCGUGGGGGAUAACGAAGCGAAAGCUUUGCUAAUACCGCAUACGAUCUACGGAUGAAAGCAGGGGACCGCAAGGCCUUGCGCGAACGGAGCGGCCGAUGGCAGAUUAGGUAGUAGGUGGGAUAAAAGCUUACCAGGCCGACGAUCUGUAGCUGGUCUGAGAGGAAGACCAGCCACGCUGGGACAGAGACAGGGCCCAGACGCCUGCGGGAUGCAGCAGGUGGGAAUUUUGGACAAUGGACGCAAGUCUGAUCCAGCCAUUCCGCGUGCAGGAUGAAGGCCCUCGGGUUGUAAACUGCUUUUGUACAGAACGAAAAGGCUCUGGUUAAUACCUGGGGCUCAUGACGGUACUGUAAGAAUAAGCACCGGCUAACUACGUGCUAGCCGCCGCAGUAAUAC
rnacentral:rRNA from 1 species